rnacentral:rRNA from 1 species
UACAUAGGUGGCAAGCGUUAUCCGGAUUUAUUGGGCGUAAAGAGUGCGUAGACGGUUUUGCAAGUUCGAGGUUAAAUAUGGGAGCUCAACUCCUAUCCGCCUUGGAAACUACAUUACUAGAGUAUAGAAGAGGUUAGUGGAAUUUCAUGUGUAGCGGUGGAAUGCGUAGAUAUAUGAAGGAACAUCAGUGGCGAAAGCGGCUAACUGGUCUAUUACUGACGUUGAUGCACGAAAGCAUGGGGAGCAAAUAGG